rnacentral:rRNA from 1 species
ACACGGCUCGCCUCGUGCCUUCCUGCCGAACAACGUACCCCGGCGCGGUCCGCGCCAAGGAACAUGAACGAAAGAGUGCCUCCGGUCGCCUCGGAAACGCUGCGCGCACCGGAGGCGAAUCUUGUCUAGAACCAUAACGACUCUCGGCAACGGAUAUCUCGGCUCUCGCAUCGAUGAAGAACGUAGCGAAAUGCGAUACUUGGUGUGAAUUGCAGAAUCCCGCGAAUCAUCGAGUCUUUGAACGCAAGUUGCGCCCGAAGCCACCUGGCCGAGGGCACGUCUGCCUGGGUGUCACGCAUCGUUGCCCCCACUCCCCUCGGCUCACGAGGGCGGGGGCGGAUACUGGUCUCCCGCGCGCUCCCGCCCGUGGUUGGCCUAAAAUCGAGUCCUCGGCGACGGUCGCCACGACAAGCGGUGGUUGAGAGACCCUCGGACACGGUCGUGCGCGUGCUUGUCGCCCCCGGGACCUCCCGGACCCCCGAGCAUUGGCUUUCAAGGAUGCUCUCGUUGCGACCCCAGGUCAGGCGGGACUACCCGCUGAG